UACGUAGGGUGCGAGCGUUGUCCGGAAUUAUUGGGCGUAAAGAGCUCGUAGGCGGUGUGUCGCGUCGGCCGUGAAAACCUGGGGCUCAACUCUGGGCGUGCGGUCGAUACGGGCAUCACUUGAGUUCGGCAGGGGAGACUGGAAUUCCUGGUGUAGCGGUGAAAUGCGCAGAUAUCAGGAGGAACACCAAUGGCGAAGGCAGAUCUCUGGGCCGUAACUGACGCUGAGGAGCGAAAAGCCAUGGGGAGCGAACAGG
rnacentral:rRNA from 1 species